AAUCGGAAUUACUGGGCGUAAAGCGCACGCAGGCGGUCUGUCAAGUCGGAUGUGAAAUCCCCGGGCUCAACCUGGGAACUGCAUUCGAAACUGGCAGGCUGGAGUCUUGUAGAGGGGGGUAGAAUUCCAGGUGUAGCGGUGAAAUGCGUAGAGAUCUGGAGGAAUACCGGUGGCGAAGGCGGCCCCCUGGACAAAGACUGACGCUCAGGUGCGAAAGCGUGGGGAGCAACAGGAUUAGAUACCCUGGUAGUCCACGCUGUAAACGAUGUCGACUUGGAGGUUGUUCCCUUGAGGAGUGGCUUCCGGAGCUAACGCGUUAAGUCGACCGCCUGGGGAGUACGGCCGCAAGGUUAAAACUCAAAUGAAUUGACGGGGGCCCGCACAAGCGGUGGAGCAUGUGGUUUAAUUCGAUGCAACGCGAAGAACCUUACCUACUCUUGACAUCCAGAGAACUUAGCAGAGAUGCUUUGGUGCCUUCGGGAACUCUGAGACAGGUGCUGCAUGGCUGUCGUCAGCUCGUGUUGUGAAAUGUUGGGUUAAGUCCCGCAACGAGCGCAACCCUUAUCCUUUGUUGCCAGCGAUUCGGUCGGGAACUCAAAGGAGACUGCCAGUGAUAAACUGGAGGAAGGUGGGGAUGACGUCAAGUCAUCAUGGCCCUUACGAGUAGGGCUACACACGUGCUACAAUGGCAUAUACAAAGAGAAGCGACCUCGCGAGAGCAAGCGGACCUCAUAAAGUAUGUCGUAGUCCGGAUUGGAGUCUGCAACUCGACUCCAUGAAGUCGGAAUCGCUAGUAAUCGUGGAUCAGAAUGCCACGGUGAAUACGUUCCCGGGCCUUGUACACACCGCCCGUCACACCAUGGGAGUGGGUUGCAAAAGAAGUAGGUAGCUUAACCUUCG
rnacentral:rRNA from 1 species